rnacentral:rRNA from 1 species
ACAAGCGGUGGAGUAUGUGGUUUAAUUCGAUGCAACGCGAAGACCUUACCUGGUCUUGACAUCCCGGAGACCCUUAGGAAACUAGGGGGUGCUUCCAUCUGGAAGAAUCUGGAGACAGGUGCUGCAUGGCUGUCGUCAGCUCGUGUCGUGAGAUGUUGGGUUAAGUCCCGCAACGAGCGCAACCCUUGCCUUUAGUUGCCAGCAGUUCGGCUGGGCACUCUAAAGGGACUGCCGGUGUUAAACCGGAGGAAGGUGGGGAUGACGUCAAGUCCUCAUGGCCUUUAUGACCAGGGCUACACACGUACUACAAUGGCCGAUACAAAGGGCAGCGACACUGCGAGGUGAAGCCAAUCCCGUAAAAUCGGUCUCAGUCCGGAUUGGAGUCUGCAACUCGACUCCAUGAAGUUGGAAUCGCUAGUAAUCGUGGAUCAGCAUGCCACGGUGAAUACGUUCCCGGGCCUU